rnacentral:rRNA from 1 species
UACGUAGGUGGCAAGCGUUGUCCGGAAUUAUUGGGCGUAAAGCGCGCGCAGGCGGUCCUUUAAGUCUGAUGUGAAAGCCCACGGCUCAACCGUGGAGGGUCAUUGGAAACUGGGGGACUUGAGUGCAGAAGAGGAAAGCGGAAUUCCACGGUGUAGCGGUGAAAUGCGUAGAGAUCGUAAGGAAGACCAGUGGCGAAGGCGAGUUCUGGACAGUUACCGACGCUGAGGCACGAAGGCCAGGGGAGCAAACGGGG